rnacentral:rRNA from 1 species
UACGUAGGGUCCAAGCGUUGUCCGGAUUUACUGGGUGUAAAGGGUGCGUAGGCGGACUUGUGCGUCAGAGGUUAAAGACCCCGGCUUAACCGGGGAAGUGCCUUUGAUACGGCAGGUCUUGAGUGUAGAUGAGGAUGAUAGAAUUCCUGGUGUAGCGGUGAAAUGCGUAGAUAUCAGGAGGAAUACCGAAGGCGAAGGCAGUCAUCUAAUCUACUACUGACGCUGAGGCACGAAAGCGUGGGGAGCAAACAGG